rnacentral:rRNA from 1 species
AUAGAGGAAGUAAAAGUCGUAACAAGGUCUCCGUUGGUGAACCAGCGGAGGGAUCAUUAUUAGAAGCCGAAAGGCUACUUAAAACCAUCGCGAACUCGUCCAAGUUGCUUCGGCGGCGCGGCCCCCCUCACGGGGGCGCCGCAGCCCCGCCUCUCCGGAGGUGUGGGGCGCCCGCCGGAGGUACGAAACUCUGUAUUAUAGUGGCAUCUCUGAGUAAAAAACAAAUAAGUUAAAACUUUCAACAACGGAUCUCUUGGUUCUGGCAUCGAUGAAGAACGCAGCGAAAUGCGAUAAGUAAUGUGAAUUGCAGAAUUCAGUGAAUCAUCGAAUCUUUGAACGCACAUUGCGCCCGCUAGUACUCUAGCGGGCAUGCCUGUUCGAGCGUCAUUUCAACCCUCAAGCCCUGCUUGGUGUUGGGGCCCUACGGCUGCCGUAGGCCCUGAAAGGAAGUGGCGGGCUCGCUACAACUCCGAGCGUAGUAAUUCAUUAUCUCGCUAGGGACGUUGCGGCGCGCUCCUGCCGUUAAAGACCAUCUUUAACUCAAGGUUGACCUCGGAUCAGGUAGGAAUACCCGCUGAACUUAAGCAUAUCAA